rnacentral:tRNA from 1 species
GCGAGAGUGGCGGAAUUGGUAGACGCGCUAGACUUAGGAUCUAGUGUCACUGCGACGUGGGGGUUCGAGUCCCCCCUCUCGCA